AUUGAACGCUGGCGGCAUGCCUUACACAUGCAAGUCGAACGGCAGCACGGGAGCAAUCCUGGUGGCGAGUGGCGAACGGGUGAGUAAUAUAUCGGAACGUGCCCAGUCGUGGGGAUAACGUAGCGAAAGCUACGCUAAUACCGCAUACGAUCUAUGGAUGAAAGCGGGGGAUCGCAAGACCUCGCGCGAUUGGAGCGGCCGAUAUCAGAUUAGGUAGUUGGUGAGGUAAAGGCUCGCCAAGCCGACGAUCUGUAGCUGGUCUGAGAGGACGACCAGCCACACUGGGACUGAGACACGGCCCAGACUCCUACGGGAGGCAGCAGUGGGGAAUUUUGGGACAAUGGGCGCAAGCCUGAUCCAGCAAUGCCGCGUGCAGGAUGAAGGCCUUCGGGUUGUAACUGCUUUGUACGGAACGAACGGUGAGCUCUAAUACAGUUUGUCUAAUGACGGUACCGUAAGAAUAAG
rnacentral:rRNA from 1 species